GGCUCAGAUUGAACGCUGGCGGCAGGCCUAACACAUGCAAGUCGAGCGGUAGAGAGAAGCUUGCUUCUCUUGAGAGCGGCGGACGGGUGAGUAAUGCCUAGGAAUCUGCCUGGUAGUGGGGGAUAACGUUCGGAAACGGACGCUAAUACCGCAUACGUCCUACGGGAGAAAGCAGGGGACCUUCGGGCCUUGCGCUAUCAGAUGAGCCUAGGUCGGAUUAGCUAGUUGGUGGGGUAAUGGCUCACCAAGGCGACGAUCCGUAACUGGUCUGAGAGGAUGAUCAGUCACACUGGAACUGAGACACGGUCCAGACUCCUACGGGAGGCAGCAGUGGGGAAUAUUGGACAAUGGGCGAAAGCCUGAUCCAGCCAUGCCGCGUGUGUGAAGAAGGUCUUCGGAUUGUAAAGCACUUUAAGUUGGGAGGAAGGGUUGUAGAUUAAUACUCUGCAAUUUUGACGUUACCGACAGAAUAAGCACCGGCUAACUCUGUGCCAGCAG
rnacentral:rRNA from 1 species